AGUGAACGCUGGCGGUAGGCCUAAUACAUGCAAGUCGAACGGCAGCACAGUAAGAGUUUGCCCUUACGGGUGGCGGGUGGCGGGCGGGUGAGGAAUAGAUAGGCUUCUUAUUUUUCGGGGGGGACAACGUGGGGAAACUUACGCUACUACCUAAUAUAUUCAACGGGGGGAAGCAGGGGUGCUUGGGGCUUUUGCUGUUUGAUUUAGCUGGAGCCGAAUUAGGUAGUUGGGGGGGUAACGGCCCACCAAGGCGACGAUCCGUAGCUGAUCUGAGAGGAUGAUCAGCCACACUGGAACUGAGACACGGUCCAGACUCCUACGGGAGGCAGCAGUGGGGAAUAUUGGGCAAUGGGCGCAAGCCUGAUCCAGCCAUGCCGCGUGGGUGAAGAAGGCCUUCGGGUUGUAAAGCCCUUUUAUUAGGAAAGAAAAGCAGCAGGUUAAUACCCCGCUGUUCUGACGGUACCCAAAGAAUAAGCACCGGCUAACUUCGUG
rnacentral:rRNA from 1 species